rnacentral:rRNA from 1 species
UACGUAGGGGGCAAGCGUUAUCCGGAUUCACUGGGUGUAAAGGGAGCGUAGACGGCCAUGCAAGCCUGGAGUGAAAGCCCGGGGCCCAACCCCGGGGCUGCUCUGGGAACUGUGCGGCUGGAGUGCGGGAGGGGCAGGCGGAAUUCCUGGUGUAGCGGUGAAAUGCGUAGAUAUCAGGAGGAACACCGGCGGCGAAGGCGGCCUGCUGGACCGCGACUGACGUUGAGGCUCGAAAGCGUGGGGAGCAAACAGG